rnacentral:lncRNA from 1 species
UGUGAUAUUUCACUUAAUCCUAGCACCUAGGUGAUGUAACACUUCUCUUUUGUCUGGACACUUGCAUAUUUUUGGUAGUGUAACAUAUCACUUGGCCCAACACCUAGAAUAUAGGAGGUUUCUGCCAGGGCCCUGCCUACAGGGGGGCCUGUGACAUAUUUCUCCUGGCUGUGGAACCCAGUACCUAAGAAAUGUACCUCUUCUGCCUGCAGUUUGCCAAUAAGAAAUGUUAUGAUAUAUUGAUGGGUCCAGCAACCAUGUGAUAUAUCUCUCCUGCUUUGGCCUCAUCAACAGAGAGCAUUGUGACAUACCCGCGAGCCAAGCACACAGAUGAUGUUAUUCUGCUGCCUGUGCCCUGCUUUCAGGAGUGGAUUGCAAUGUAACACUGGCUGAGUACCCAGGUUAAUGACACUGUUGCCUGGUCCCUGUUCUCAGGGAAGACUGUAAUAGACCCCUGACCCAAUAUCCAGGGGACAUUGUGACAUACUUCUUGGCCAUGAACCCAGGUUAUGUGAGCCUUUCUGUGCCCUGCCCAUGUGGACAAUUGUGACAUAUUACCGAGUCCUACACCCAGGCGAUGCUACUCUCCUGUCUGGUCCUUGCCUACAGGGAACAUUGUGACAUAUCUCUUUGCCAUUCAUCCAGGUUCUGCCCACAGGGAAGAUUGUGGUGAAUUACUGAACGCGAUACCUAGAUGAAGGUGCGGGAUGGUUAAAUAUCACUGGACCUAGCACCUAGGGAAUGUGACUCUUGUCUUUUGCAUCAGCCCCACUCGUUUUGAGAACUGUAACAUAUCACUGGGCCAAACACCUAGAAGAUGGGAAGUGUCUGCCUAUGCCCUGCAAACAGGGCUUUAGCCCUACCACUCUCAAGAGCCUCGUGACAUAUCUCUGCAUUCAUCAUCUAGGAGAUGUGACUCCUCCCUGCUGCCUGCGCUCUGCCUACAGGGAAGACCAUAACAACAUUUGGCCCAGCAACACGGUGAUGUGUUUUUUCCCAGGGCCUUGCUCACAGGGAGCAUUGUGACAUAUCACUGGAACCAGCAUCCAGGGCUGUGACUCUGUGUCCUGCUGUUAGAACAGGAUUGUAACAUAUCACUGACCAAGCACCCAGGUGAUGUGACUCUUCUGCCUGGUGCCUGCCUUCAGGGAAAAUUGUGACAUAUGCCUGGCCUAGCACCAAAGUGAUGUGGCUCUCCUGCUACCUCUAUGCACAGGUGGGAUUGUGACAUAUACCUUCAUUCAGCUCAUAGGUGAGGUGAUAACUCUCAUACCACAAACCAAACAGUAGGAGAGAUGCUGUCUGUCAAAGCUAAGCUUACAGAAAUACACAAGAUUCAGGGACUUUUCUUUGUAUAAACAUUAUAGUAGAUUACUGCUCUCUUGUAUAUAAUAUAAACUUCUCAGGUGGUACAGAGAGUGUCAUCACAGGGCCCAGCGCACAGGUGAGAAUACAUUAUUUGUAUGCACGCCCCACCACCCAUUAGGAUUUUCACCCUCAAACAUGGAAAGAGCCUACUGGUAAGGUCUUGAAUCUCACACCUGGAUGCAGUCUACAGUUGAAAUUGUGAUUGUCAUAGGUGAAUAUCCAGCUGCAGUUGAGAUGGUGACUCAUUUCUAACUUAGCUCUGAGGCAGGUGAGGACUGUUUUAUUUGGAACCAGCCAAUUAUAAAGAUGUUGACUCUCAUAUUUGAGCUUAGUUCUACAGGUACAAUCAUGGGUCCAUAACAUCAUGAAGGUCAUAGAGCAGUUUGCAACUCUCAUUAAUACUGUAGAAGGCUCUUGGGUGGUACUGAGAGGGUCUUAGCAGAGCCCCGCACACAGGUGAGAUUGUGACACUCAUAUGCACACCCAGCCAACAAUAAAACUUUUCAUCUUUCCACAUGAACACAGCCCACUGUUGAGGUCCUGAGUCUCCCUUGUGAAAACAGUGCAAAGUUGAAAAAUUGACUCUUAUAUGUGGAUUUGGUUCACAGAUGGGUUGGUGAUGCUCAGACAAAUAUUCAGCACACCUGUGAGUCUGCGACUCCAGUAAUCAUCCACAGUCUGCAGGAGAAAUUGAGGCUCUCACCAACAAAUCAAGUGCACAAUUGAGAUUGCGACUCUUGUACUCAGACCCAACAUACAGAAUGUGUUGACUCUCAAUUUUAAAACCAGAACAUGUGUGAGAUUAUUAAUCUGAUCUCUAAACCAUCCUGCAAGUGUGAUUGUGACACAAGUCUCUGUUCAGUACUUGAGUGAUUUGACUCCUUUGCCUGGGCCCAGUCCAAAGAUGUAAUUGUGACAUAUCACUGAAACCAGCAUAUAGGAGAUGUGUCUCCAUACUCCUGCCUUGGUGCUGCCCACAGUGGGCACUGUGACAUAUCACUGGGCCUUGUAUCCAAGUGAUGUAAGUCUCUUCUUUCUUGAUACUGACCACAGGAGACACUAUGACAUAUCCCUGGGCCUCAAGCUCAGCUUAUGUCAUUCUCCUAUUUGUUCUCUGUCCACAUGGGCCAUUGUGACAUACUGCUGAGUUUGGCAUCCAUGUGAUAUAACACUUCAGCCUCAGCUUUGCUCACUUGGGGCAUUGUGAUGUAUCUCUGCACCCAUCACUUAGAUGAUUCAACUCUUUUCUUCUGUCUCAUCUGUGCUUAAAACGGGCAAUUGUUACCUAUUGCUGGGUCCAGCAUGUAGCUGAUGUGUCUCUUCUCAUCUUCCUAAGGACUGCCUGCAGGGGAUAUGGUGACAUUUUACUUUGCCCAGCACCAAGAUGACUUGAAUCUGCUGCCUUUGUUCUACUUUCAGAAGACAUUGUGACAUAUCGCUGGGCCUAGCACCAAGGUGAUGUGAAUCUUCUGCCUGGACCUGCUCACAGAGGGAAUUGUUACAUAUUUUUGACUUCAUCAACUAUUUGAUGUGACUCUCCUCUCUAACCUGGGCCUUGCCCAUAAAAAACAUUGUGGCUUAUCUCUGGGCCCAAAACCUAGGUGAUGUGACUGUCUUCUUAGGGUCAUGCCCACAGUAGAGAGAUGCCUUAUUGCUAAACCCAGCACACAGGUGAGGUGAUUCUUCUGUCUGGUCCCUGCCCACAGGGGUCAUGAUGACAUCUCUCUAAGCCCAUCACCUAGAUUAUGUGAGUUCUCUUUUUCUUCUGUUAGCUAUAUAGAAGAUUGUGACAUAUUGCUUGGCCCAGACCUCAUGUGAUGUGAAUCUCCUCUCAUGCCUUGGUCCUGUUUUUUUUUGGCCGUUGUUGUUUUGUUUUGUUUUUUGAGAUGGAGUCUUGCUCUGUUGCCUAAGCUGGA